CCCUUCGGGGUUAUUGGCGCACGGGUGCGUANNNNNNNNNNNNNGCCUUUAGGUUCGGAAUAACUCAGAGAAANNNNNNCUAAUACCGAAUAAUGUCUUCGGACCAAAGAUUUAUCGCCUUUAGAUGGGCCCGCGUUAGAUUAGAUAGUUGGUGGGGUAACGGCCUACCAAGUCGACGAUCUAUAGCUGGUCUGAGAGGAUGAUCAGCCACACUGGGACUGAGACACGGCCCAGACUCCUACGGGAGGCAGCAGUGGGGAAUAUUGGACAAUGGGCGAAAGCCUGAUCCAGCAAUGCCGCGUGAGUGAUGAAGGCCUUAGGGUUGUAAAGCUCUUUUACCAGGGAUGAUAAUGACAGUACCUGGAGAAUAAGCUCCGGCUAACUCCGUGCCAGCAGCCGCGGUAAUACGGAGGGAGCUAGCGUUGUUCGGAAUUACUGGGCGUAAAGCGCGCGUAGGCGGCUAUCCNAGUCAGGGGUGAAAUCCCGGGGCUCAACCCCGGAACUGCCUCUGAAACUAGGUAGCUAGAAUACUGGAGAGGUGAGUGGAAUUCCGAGUGUAGAGGUGAAAUUCGUAGAUAUUCGGAAGAANACCAGUGGCGAAGGCGACUCACUGNNCAGUUAUUGACGCUGANGUGNGAAAGCGUGNGAGCAAACAGGAUUAGAUACCCUGGNAGNCNCG
rnacentral:rRNA from 1 species